GAGGAUCGACCGAGGCGGCGUCGAAACAGGUGCCGGCACGAACGGAGUGGCGGUGGCGGUGGCAGUGCGACUGUUGGCCGAGUUUUGAAGCAAGUCACUUGAACGCCUGGCCAAUCGCCGGAAAACAGGUUUAAUUGAAACUAAAUAAGAAAUCAGAAAACAGGUGAGGAAGAAAACUUCGUAUUCAAUGAACCUCAGUUAUGA
rnacentral:lncRNA from 1 species